rnacentral:rRNA from 1 species
GACGAACGCUGGCGGCGUGCUUAACACAUGCAAGUCGAACGGAAAGGCCCUGCUUUUGUGGGGUGCUCCAGUGGCGAACGGGUGAGUAACACGUGAGUAACCUGCCCUUGACUUUGGGAUAACUUCAGGAAACUGGGGCUAAUACCGGAUAGGAGCUCCUGCUGCAUGGUGGGGGUUGGAAAGUUUCGGCGGUUGGGGAUGGACUCGCGGCUUAUCAGCUUGUUGGUGGGGUAGUGGCUUACCAAGGCUUUGACGGGUAGCCGGCCUGAGAGGGUGACCGGCCACAUUGGGACUGAGAUACGGCCCAGACUCCUACGGGAGGCAGCAGUGGGGAAUAUUGCACAAUGGGCGGAAGCCUGAUGCAGCAACGCCGCGUGCGGGAUGACGGCCUUCGGGUUGUAAACCGCUUUCGCCUGUGACGAAGCGUGAGUGACGGUAAUGGGUAAAGAAGCACCGGCUAACUACGUGCCAGCAGCCGCGGUGAUACGUAGGGUGCGAGCGUUGUCCGGAUUUAUUGGGCGUAAAGGGCUCGUAGGUGGUUGAUCGCGUCGGAAGUGUAAUCUUGGGGCUUAACCCUGAGCGUGCUUUCGAUACGGGUUGACUUGAGGAAGGUAGGGGAGAAUGGAAUUCCUGGUGGAGCGGUGGAAUGCGCAGAUAUCGGGAGGAACACCAGUGGCGAAGGCGGUUCUCUGGGCCCUUCCUGACGCUGAGGAGCGAAAGCGUGGGGAGCGAACAGGCUUAGAUACCCUGGUAGUCCACGCUGUAAACGGUGGGUACUAGGUGUGGGGUCCAUUCCACGGGUUCCGUGCCGUAGCUAACGCUUUAAGUACCCCGCCUGGGGAGUACGGCCGCAAGGCUAAAACUCAAAGGAAUUGACGGGGCCCCGCACAAGCGGCGGAGCAUGCGGAUUAAUUCGAUGCAACGCGUAGAACCUUACCUGGGUUUGACAUGGAUCGGGAGCGCUCAGAGAUGGGUGUGCCUCUUUUGGGGUCGGUUCACAGGUGGUGCAUGGCUGUCGUCAGCUCGUGUCGUGAGAUGUUGGGUUAAGUCCCGCAACGAGCGCAACCCUUGUUCACUGUUGCCAGCACGUUAUGGUGGGGACUCAGUGGAGACCGCCGGGGUCAACUCGGAGGAAGGUGGGGAUGACGUCAAGUCAUCAUGCCCCUUAUGUCCAGGGCUUCACGCAUGCUACAAUGGCUGGUACAGAGAGUGGCGAGCCUGUGAGGGUGAGCGAAUCUCGGAAAGCCGGUCUCAGUUCGGAUUGGGGUCUGCAACUCGACCUCAUGAAGUCGGAGUCGCUAGUAAUCGCAGAUCAGCAACGCUGCGGUGAAUACGUUCCCGGGGCU